CCAGAAUCAGAAUUAUCUGAAUCAUAAAGCACAUCACCAUUAUCUUCACCAGAUCUCACCUGGUUAUCCACAUUAAGUUUGUUCUUCUUACAUAACUCUUCAACAUUGUUCACAUUGAACAUCUUAAGCUGUUCUCCUGAAGAUGACUUAGUCUCAAGAAUGACAGAGUUGUUGUCAGAUGACUCAGCGAAAGAGUUCACCACCAGGUUAUGUCCUUUCUUGAAACUAGAAUCCAUGGACAACAGCAUCAGGGACAUUGCCAUUUCCUGCUGCUCAGGCUCGAUCCCGGAAGCAUCAGAAUAAGCUGAAUUGGAUUGAUUCAUGAUACCAUUAUCACCAACAAGAAAAUUAGCUUUGUAGUGGUGUUUCACAACAACUCUCUUGGAUCUUCUUCUGAUAGGAGAGGAAGAAGCCUCAGUAUCAGAUUGACUGUCCAUCACAAUCUUCUCUCUCUCAGAGUGACAAGCCAUGUGACCACAAAGAGCUUUAGAAGAUACAAAACCUUUACCACAUUCCCUGCAACAAAGAAGUUGCUGGUGUUGCUGUUUCAGAGCCAUCAUCCGUCUGUGAUCCACAAACCUCUUGUUCUUUUUAGGAUUCUCUCUGAGACCGUAACUAGAUUGACCACCAUUUUCAUCAAUCA
rnacentral:lncRNA from 1 species